UAAUUUUUUGUGUCAAAUUCUAACAAUUUUUUUAACGAAAACAAUCAGAAAAAAUUUUUGAAAUUAUAGCAAAAUUUUUGUUGUAAAAACUUUGUUUAGCAAAAAUGGACCUUGAUUAUUCUACGUAUGCUCAGGUUUUAGGCUUCUCCAAUAUGCCAACUCCCGAAGAAUACUAUCCGGAGAUGAGGUGUGGCAUGCAGCAACAGCAACAGUAGUAAUACAAUUACUUUGACCAGGGACCCAGCCAGAUGUCCACUCAUCAGCCCCAUUCAGCUCCUAUCCGAAGCAGGUACCAUCAGAGCCAUCAGGGGGCUAUGGAGGUGUCCGAUGGCUUCCAGGCCAACUCCUAUUCACCAGUUCGCUAUCAAUCUACCAGUGCAGCCGCAUAUCGCGGCAUGGUGCAAGAACAAAGGCGAGCCAAGGAAAUGAUGUCCCGCAAUGGGUUGUAGUACAUCACCCAAUGAAGUCUCCGAGACCUGCUACAUUUCUUUGUGGUGAAAAUUUGUAUUAGUUUAAUAUAUUUCCUUUAUACAUAUAUUAAAGUGUAAAUAUGGUCUUUUU